AUAUAUAUAUAUAUAUAUAUAUAUAUAUAUAUAUAUAUAUAUAUGAAAUAAUUGAGAUUCAGUUGAAUUAGGUACUUAAGUUGAAGCCCCAAGUCAGUCUGGUAUCAUCUGCCCAGGUCGAAGUAAGGUGAAUAAAAUCAAACUAAGCAACAGGAUAU